AGCGUAGGCGGACUUUUAAGUGAGAUGUGAAAUACCCGGGCUCAACUUGGGUGCUGCAUUUCAAACUGGAAGUCUAGAGUGCAGGAGAGGAGAAGGGAAUUCCUAGUGUAGCGGUGAAAUGCGUAGAGAUUAGGAAGAACACCAGUGGCGAAGGCGCUUCUCUGGACUGUAACUGACGCUGAGGCUCGAAAGCGUGGGGAGCAACA
rnacentral:rRNA from 1 species